UAUGAAGGUCAGGCUGAAGACCUUACCCGAUUAGCUGAGAGGUGGUGCAUGGCCGUCGUCAGUUCGUACUGUGAAGCAUCCUGUUAAGUCAGGCAACGAGCGAGACCCACGUCCACAGUUGCCAGCAUACCCUCCGGGGUGAUGGGUACACUGUGGAGACCGCCGCUGCUAAAGCGGAGGAAGGAGUGGGCAACGGUAGGUCAGUAUGCCCCGAAUCUCCCGGGCUACACGCGGGCUACAAUGGUUGGUACAAUGGGCAUCUACCCCGAAAGGGGAAGGAAAUCUCUUAAAGCCAAUCGUAGUUCGGAUUGAGGGCUGCAACUCGCCCUCAUGAAGCUGGAAUCCGUAGUAAUCGCGUUUCAACAGAACGCGGUGAAUACGUCUCUGCUCCUU
rnacentral:rRNA from 1 species